GAAACAAGGCCGAGCUCCGGCCAUGGCGGUUUAGAGAGAGAAACUUAGAAAGAGAAAAGUGGGUUUCCCACUUGCACCACCUCUUAAUCCGAAGUACCACUUCCAAACAUCCAUACCCACCUCAAGAAACUCAGAACCUUCCUCCAAUACCUCAGAAUCGGGCCCGAUCGGCCGUGCUCCGGUCGUUUUCUCCGGCGAACCGAAAAAUUUCAAAAACUCGUUUAAAGCUUGUUUUGAUCAAAACUAAACAAGCUGCAGGUAGUGACGACAUAGAAGAUCAUCCUUGCGAGCCGGAUCCGUACCAUUCAAGAGAGAUACCAGGGGCAGAGAUUGAGCAAGAUUAUGCUUGGAAUCCAUAUCAGAACUAGAGUCGCUCUGAGUCAUUGCUCUGUGACGUCAUGUCACCCAAAGGCCUCCGUACAUGUGGGGUAGAGCAUAUUAAUUUCGACAUUGAACUGUAAUAAGGAGAUACUAUUCUGUGUUUUGUAAUAAAAAGAAUAAUAUUUA